rnacentral:tRNA from 1 species
GCCUGAGUAGCUUAAGCCUAAAGCAUUACAUUGAAGCUGUAAAAAUGAUUACAUAUC